UGAUGUAUGAUCCCCUGGCUGCUAAAAAAGGAAAUACCCUCAUUGCUAGAGCCCAAUUCUAAGGCAUUGUCACUUCUAACAGUCUGAACCACAGCAUUGAAUUGGGUUCUGACCAGAGAAAGAAAUGACUUGAGCAUAGAAAAGGCAUUGCUUUUGGAUCCCAGUAGGUGUGUCCAUGUUGCCCUUGAAAGUCAUCAACAAUUGUAAGGAAAUAUUUACAACCAGAAGAGGUUGGAGUAUGAUAAGGUCCCCAGAUGUCCACAUGAAUCAGUUGAAAGGGUCUAGAAAUCUUAAUUGAACUAUCAGGAAAUGGAAGCCUAGUCUGUCUGGCCAUAGGACAAACUGAACAGGGAAAGGGUUGUUUGGAAGCAAAAGGAAAAGACAUACCAGAAAUACAUUUCAUGUUUGCAAAAGGAGUAUGUGCAAGCCUUAAGUGCCAAAUGUAAUUCACAUCCGAUGUAAAAUCAUUAUUACAGAUGGAAUUAUUCACAUGAGAAGGCAAUGGAACAGCCUUGUUAUCAGACAAGAUGUCAUCAUUACAAGAAACAGACACAGAAGGCAAUGCAACAACUUUGCUUUCAUCACAAGAAGCAGAUACAGGACAAACAGAAGUAGAAGAACAACUAACAGAGGAAGAAGAGGAAGGAGGAACCCAAGCCAGUUUAUAUAAGCCAGCAGCUUCUCUACCAAGAUCCAGAGGCCUCCUCAGAGAAGGGUAGAGGAAGGAGGAACCCAAGCCAGUUUAUAUAAGACAGCAGCUUCUCAACCAAGAUCCAGAGGCCUCCUCAGAGAAGGGUCCUGUAUCAUGUGUAGGAAGCAGGAAUGUUUAGUGAACAAAAGUAUACAAUGCAACUACUUCACUAACUUGUGAACAGAAAUCAAGUUGUGUUUAAAAGAAGGAACUAGCAGUACAUUGUGAAGAGUGAUGGAAGGAGUCAGUGCAAAAGAGCANNNNNNNCAAGUUGUGUUUAAAAGAAGGAACUAGCAGUACAUUGUGAAGAGUAAUGGAAGGGGUCAAUGCAAAGGAGCCUGUGCAUGUCACUUUCACUUUAUAGCCGUUAGGAAGAGUGACAAGAUAUGGCAGAGUUAAAGGUGUGAUGUUAGAAAGUAAAUGUUUAUCAUGUGUCAUGUGAUUAGAGGCACUUGAACCUAUAAUCCAGGUGAUAGAGUUAAUAUUAGUAAGUACACAAAGUUUGGAAUCAGAAAUAGAGCUCUCAGUUAACAUAGUACCAGCAAAGUUUGCAGCAUAUGUGGGAGGAGGAGUCUGAGCAGUGGAGUCCCCAAACUUGGUCUGAUGUAAUAAAGUCAUCAACUGGUCAUAAUCUUGUCUGCUCAACCCUGGUAUCACAGAGGUCUGGCCAUCUAUUCUUGCAACAGAUUGAUGGCUAUCAGGAGGAUUCCCUUGAGGAACAGACAGAAGACCAUCAGAAUGAAG
rnacentral:lncRNA from 1 species